UAGUUUACUGCCUGUUUUGUGUGUUUUUUUACAUUUUUCUAGUUCAGAGUUCAUCACUGUUUUUGUAUUUUUACUGAAGUGAGUUGUUUGUUUUUUAUUAAAAUAAAGAUCUCUGAUCUCUGUGAUUUUCUCUCAGUCUUAUCCACUGAUUUAAAGCUUGAUGAUCUUUGUUAUACCCAUCGCUUGCAGCAGAGGGCGCUGUCUCCACUGAGCAUUUGAGCUCCCAGUUUCCUCUUUGGCAGAGUAGCAGAGUCACAGCAGAGAAGAACAGAGGAAUCAGAGGAUGAUGAGGCUCAGCUCUGUCGUGUGUCUGCUGAUCGGGACUUCUCUGAGGACUGUGUCUCCUGCUGAGGGAGGGACAACUGGAAAACUUCUAGCCAUCGUGAUUGCAGCCGUUUUGGGUCUAAUAGGAGGAACAUAUAUCCUGAUAAAGUACUGCAUAAAGAAAUACAGAGGUCGACAAGAAAACAACACCAGUGAGUCAGUGCUGCACUGAGCUACAGUAAGCUGAC